AUGGAUCAGGUAAUGCAGUUUGUGGAGCCCAGCCGGCAGUUUGUAAAGGACUCAAUUCGGCUGGUUAAAAGAUGCACCAAACCCGACAGAAAAGAAUUCCAGAAGAUUGCCAUGGCUACAGCUAUAGGAUUUGCUAUCAUGGGAUUCAUUGGCUUCUUCGUGAAACUGAUCCAUAUACCCAUUAAUAACAUUAUUGUGGGUGGCUGA
rnacentral:lncRNA from 1 species